rnacentral:rRNA from 1 species
UACGAAGGGUGCUAGCGUUGUUCGGAAUCACUGGGCGUAAAGGGCGCGUAGGCGGCUUUUCAAGUCAGAGGUGAAAUCCUGAGGCUCAACCUCAGAAUUGCCUUUGAAACUGGAAAGCUUGAGUGUCGGAGGGGAUAGCGGAAUUCCUAAUGUAGAGGUGAAAUUCGUAGAUAUUAGGAGGAACACCGGUGGCGAAGGCGGCUAUCUGGACGACAACUGACGCUGAGGCGCGAAAGCGUGGGGAGCAAACAGG